UUCACUCCAGGAGAGCGAAAGUAUUGGAUGAGCCAGUCCUACAGCGCCCGCCGGUUGCCGAAAAAGCAGGAAAUGCAUCCACGAGAGGGGGCAGCUGCAAUUUUAGGAAGAACGAAAAGCAUUUAAAAAGAAAUAUGUCCCACCACGGUGCAGAAGAUGGUAUUUGCCAAGCUCUUCUCCAGCACCAUGUUUUGAGUGCUCGCAUGUUCUUCCUGCCUGCUUUCUUGACUGUCCAGCUUUCACACCUGUGCAUAGUUCCCUGGAAUCCAGGUGUGUGGAUUGGCAUCAAGGCUGUUCAGUGAAAAGAAAGCGAGACCACAGUCAGAUGCUUCUCACGUCCUCUCCAAGACGCAGGAGUCGGAAUCUGCGGGUGCUGUCAUCUGAUGUGUUAAUAUCUGGGUAGGUAGCAUGGCAGCUUUGGUGCCCCUUUACUUG